UGGCGCAAGCCUGACCGAGCGACGCCGCGUGUGCGAUGAAGGCCUUCGGGUUGUAAAGCACUGUCAGGGGGGAUAAAUCAAUGAUAGAUCCCCAGAGGAAGCACGGCUAAGUUCGUGCCAGCAGCCGCGGUAAGACGAACCGUGCGAACGUUGUUCGGAAUCACUGGGCUUAAAGGGCGCGUAGGCGGUUUACCAAGUCGGGGGUGAAAUCUUUCGGCUCAACCGGAAAAGGGCCUUCGAUACAGGUAAACUUGAGCGAGGUAGGGGCAGAUGGAACUUCCGGUGGAGCGGUGAAAUGUGUUGAUAUCGGAAGGAACGCCGGUGGCGAAAGCGAUCUGCUGGACCUCUUCUGACGCUGAGGCGCGAAAGCCAGGGGAGCAAACGGGAUUAGAUACCCCGGUAGUCCUGGCCCUAAACGAUGGGUACUGAGUAGUGGACUUGCAUGGGUUCACUGCUGAAGCAAAAGUGGUAAGUACCCCGCCUGGGGAGUAUGGUCGCAAGGCUG
rnacentral:rRNA from 1 species